UACGUAGGGAGCAAGCGUUGUCCGGAAUCAUUGGGCGUAAAGCGCGUGUAGGCGGUCCGGUAAGUCCGCUGUGAAAGUCGGGGGCUCAACCCUCGGAUGCCGGUGGAUACUGUCGGGCUUGAGUACGGAAGAGGCGAGUGGAAUUCCUGGUGUAGCGGUGAAAUGCGCAGAUAUCAGGAGGAACACCAAUUGCGAAGGCAGCUCGCUGGGACGUUACUGACGCUGAGGAGCAAAAGCGUGGGGAGCAAACAGG
rnacentral:rRNA from 1 species